rnacentral:lncRNA from 1 species
CUUCGGCUUCAAGUAGAAGGAAAGAGAGGAAGAAAAAGGUUAGGAAGAGAGAGAACGGACACAAAAAAAGGUGAGAUCAUGUGGGGAGAGGGCUUUCACGUGCACCAACAUGCCUUUUGUCGCCACGUGGCCCCAUUAUUGCCCUCGUGCGUGUCACUUUGGUAUCUUCGUAACUAGACACGCUUCUCUCAAUCAUGGGAUACUCUCUCGCUCUCUCUCUCCCCCCUUUGUUUUCAAGCUUUUACACAUUCUCAUGCGCCACUCCUUUACGGCUUUACCUCGAAGAUCAUGGGCUUAUCUCAUGGUUCAAAUAAAAGAGCUACAUCAUGAGGAAUUUUACAUGUCUGGGGAUAAUUUUUUAUUAGUCAGGAUUUUUUAAUGGAUAGUUCCGUUUUAUAUCUAUUAAAUUAGUGAGUGAAACUAAUAUAUUUUUAAUUUAAUUUUGACUGUGUAUUUUUAAGAAAUAUUUAUUCGGAAAGAGUAAUUUACAUGAAACAGAUUUCCUGUCAUAGGUUGCAAAAUCUUGCACAUGUUAUUGAACGAUUUGCAAUAGCUGUCGCACGUGUAAUCGUCCAAUUGUGAGUUUCACUAAUACGAGGAAGAUGUUUGUCCAUCCUUUGUGGUCUACAAGUUUGGUUUUGUCUUUGCUUUUCAUGAGAUUUGUUUCUUGUUUAUUUAAUUUUGUUUGUAUCAAGUAAAUGCGAUGCCUUAAUUAAAUCAAAUCUACGGAGGUUAACUAAGCCUCUGACCCUCAAUAAUCAACUUGAAGAAAUAUACGGACAAAUUGCACUUGACUAUCUCAGAUUGGUUUAAAAUAGAUUAAGUUGGACUAACUUAAUGAAAUCUUUGGUGGACUCUCAAAUGUUCAUCACAAUACAACUUUUUUCCUAAAAAAAGGCAAAAUCUUUGAACUUUGAAGAGCUUCAAAGAACCAGAUUCUCCUUCUCAAAGAAGAACAAAAAUUAUUUCACCAAUUUCAUACUACAUAGCUCAAAGCAGUAAAUUACACAAAUGUGGCUCUGUAAAAACUAUCCCACUACAAAG